rnacentral:lncRNA from 1 species
CGUGCUUUCGAAAAUGCGGAGGCCUUCAUACUUGUAAAUUGUUUCCGAUGAUAGGACAUCCAAUUCGACGAUCUACUCCGUUAGACAUAAUCUAUACUAUUGAACUAUCUAGAACCAAUUUUAUAAUUUUUCGACAUCAUUUACCAAGCGAUCACAUGGUCUAAAAAAUGACUAUUUUAACGGCUGAUGUGACACGUUUUUAAGUUCAAACAGUGUAGAAGUAUCCAAAUUAUAUGAAACUUU